UGGGGAAUAUUGCACAAUGGGCGCAAGCCUGAUGCAGCGACGCCGCGUGGGGGAUGACGGCCUUCGGGUUGUAAACUCCUUUCGCUAGGGACGAAGAUUUUUGUGACGGUACCUAGAUAAGAAGCACCGGCUAACUACGUGCCAGCAGCCGCGGUAAUACGUAGGGUGCGAGCGUUGUCCGGAAUUACUGGGCGUAAAGGGCUCGUAGGUGGUUUGUCGCGUCGUCUGUGAAAUUCCGGGGCUUAACUCCGGGCGUGCAGGCGAUACGGGCAUAACUUGAGUACUGUAGGGGUAACUGGAAUUCCUGGUGUAGCGGUGAAAUGCGCAGAUAUCAGGAGGAACACCGAUGGCGAAGGCAGGUUACUGGGCCGUUACUGACGCUGAGGAGCGAAAGCAUGGGUAGCGAACAGG
rnacentral:rRNA from 1 species